UAUAAAUUAUCCGCUCAUCAUGCCACAUAAUGGUAGCAGGUGUAUGAGAUUCAUGGAUAUGGAAACUGACACAAACCCCAUUGAUCGAUCUAUAGCACACUUACUGUUUCAUAGGCCCCAUGAUCAAUCAAUGUUGCAUCCUUAUGAUACUAUACCUUUCAAAUCCAGUGCCACA